GUUUUCGAACAACAUUAUUAGGUAAUUUAAUCAGCAUCUUUUCUCAGGAUUCAUCAUGUUGAAAGUGCUGGACUUGUAUUGAUCAAUCUCGUUGAUUUUAUCUCGUUAAGCAAAUAAUGAGUAACUUUUGGAGAAUCAGGCACAUAUCUGACAACAUUUUUGAAGGGUCCGAGCAACAUAGGUAAUGCUCACAUUCUUGACACCACCACUGUCAUUGACAACAACGACAUCCAGUGGUGAGUCCUUGCGUCCAUGCCAACAACGAAGGAAGUUCCUGCCAAUUCUUCCGAAACCAUUGAUGGCAACCUUCAAUUUGGCAACUGUUUCUCCUUUCACUGGUCCUGCU